rnacentral:rRNA from 1 species
UACGGGGGGAGCAAGCGUUGUUCGGAUUUACUGGGCGUAAAGGGCGCGUAGGCGGCGCAACAAGUCACUUGUGAAAUCUCCGGGCUUAACCCGGAGCGGCCAAGUGAUACUGUCGUGCUAGAGUGCGGAAGGGGCUACUGGAAUUCUCGGUGUAGCGGUGAAAUGCGUAGAUAUCGAGAGGAACACCUGCGGCGAAGGCGGGUAGCUGGGCCGACACUGACGCUGAUGCGCGAAAGCCAGGGGAGCGAACAGG